rnacentral:misc_RNA from 1 species
AAGUGAUCUUGCAGAGAAAGAAGACGAUAAGAUGACAGAAAGCGAGUCUGAGUUUUGCAUAGAUGCAGGUUCCUGUGGUAAUGUUGCCAGAUUUAUUAAUCACAGCUGUGAACCUAAUCUAUUUGUCCAGUGUGUUUUAAGCUCCCACCAUGAUAUUAGAUUUGCUCGGGUAGUGCUUGUUGCUGCAGAUAACAUACCUCCUAUGCAGGAACUCACAU